GACGAACGCUGGCGGCGUGCUUAACACAUGCAAGUCGAGCGGUAAGGCCCUCGGGUACGACGAGCGGCGAACGGGUGAGUAACACGUGGGUGACCUGCCUCUAGCUCUGGGAUAAGCCUGGGAAACUGGGUCUAAUACCGGAUAUGACUCCACGGCGCAUGUUGUGGGGUGGAAAGCCUUGUGUGGCUAGAGAUGGGCCCGCGGCCUAUCAGCUUGUUGGUGGGGUGAUGGCCACCAAGGCGACGACGGGUAGCCGGCCUGAGAGGGCGACCGGCCGACACUGGGACUGAGACACGGCCCAGACUCCUACCGGGAGGCAGCAGUGGGGAAUCUUGCGCAAUGGGCGAAAGCCUGACGCAGCGACGCCGCGUGAGGGAUGACGGCU
rnacentral:rRNA from 1 species